GUUCUGUGUUGCCAGCAUGCCCUUCGGGGUGAUGGGGACUCACAGGAGACUGCCGGGGUCAACUCGGAGGAAGGUGGGGACGACGUCAAGUCAUCAUGCCCCUUAUGUCUUGGGCUGCACACGUGCUACAAUGGCCGGUACAAUGAGCUGCGAUGCCGUGAGGCGGAGCGAAUCUCAAAAAGCCGGUCUCAGUUCGGAUUGGGGUCUGCAACUCGACCCCAUGAAGUCGGAGUUGCUAGUAAUCGCAGAUCAGCAUUGCUGCGGUGAAUACGUUCCCGGGCCUUGUACACACCGCCCGUCACGUCACGAAAGUCGGUAACACCCGAAGCCGGUGGCCCAACCCCUCACGGGGAGGGAGCUGUCGAAGGUGGGACUGGCGAUUGGGACGAAGUCGUAAACAAGGUAGCCGUACCGGAAGUGCGGCUGGAUCACCUCCUUUCU
rnacentral:rRNA from 1 species